AUAUAUACAUAUAUGUAUACAUGUGUGUGUAUAUCAUCAUCAAACAGCUUAAUAUGAUUUAGAUUAACAGGAAACGCUCUGCUGGUGCAGACACAAAGAGAUCUCAGGAGUUUCCUCAUACCUGCACAGUGCAGCUAAGGACCGUUAGUGCAAAUACCAACAAUUAGGAAUGUACAAUGAUCAUCAAAUCAAAUCAAACUUUAUUUAUAUAGCACUUCUCAUACAAAUAAUGCAACACAAAGUGCUUAACAAAAAACAAAUAAACAUAAAACAUACAUACACAUAAAACGUAUUAAUAAUAUAUAUAUAUAUAUAUAUAUAUAUAUAUAUAUAUAUAUAUAUAUAUAUAUAUAUAUACAUGUGUGUGUGUAUAUAUAUAAUCAUCAAACAGCAUAAUAUGAUUUAGAUUAACAGGAAACGCUCUGCUGGUGAAGACACAAAGAGAUCUCAGGAGUUUCCUCACACCUGCACAGUGCAGCUAAGGACCGUUAGUGCAAAUACCAACAAUCAGGAAUGUACAAUGAUAUAGUUUCUCCAAAUUCUAAUGUGUUAGACGCAAAUUCAUAACAGACUGACUGGUGUAAGAUAAAAUGUGUUGAUAGUUGUGUUGAACAUAAAAAUAUAUGUGCAAAGAUGUCCCUUUGUGACAUUAAUAUAAUAGGCAAAGGGUUUUAAAUGACCACACAGGUUUUUGUUUUUUCAAUUCUUAAUUUAUACAGACCCAAAUGCAAAAAUUGGGAUCUGACUGAAACAGAGUUCAAUGACAGUAAAUUGGAAUAGUUAGAUCCCUAUUCACAGUUCAGUGCUUUGUAUCGUCUGUAAAUAUAUUCUCAUAUAUAAAACUCUUUCAUCUUGUAAAAUGAAACAUUUUCUUUGCCAGCUUGGGCAUAUCCUUGUUUUUCAUUAAAAUCAGAAUGUGAACAUUUAAAACCAUCUUAAAACCCAUUUUUAUUCUUUGGCUUUUAACCUUAGCGAGACUUAGUUUCUCUAUUAAUCUCAGGUGUUUUAAUCGACUGUUUACUGUGUUGAAUUUAAAGUGUUCUUAAUAAGAACAUGUGAUGUCAUGUUUUCAUAAAUGUCUGACGUUUGUAUUUGUUUUAUGUCUCUUAUAGUCUCUUAAACUGUAGUUCUUGGUAUUUCAGCCAUGUGCAGCACUUUGUUUCAGUUGUGGUUGUUUUAAGUGAUUUAUGAAUAAAGUUUGUGUAGUAUGUUAUGGUACAGUAUAUGGUAUGGUAUGGUAUGGUAUGGUAGGGAAUGGUUUAGUAUGGUAUGGUAUUGUAUGGUAUGGUAUGGUAUGGUAUGGUAUGGUAUGGUAUGGUAUGGUAUGGUAUGGUAUGGUAUGGUAUGGUAUGGUAUGGUAUGGUAUUGUAUGGAUGAACAAUUUAUCUUGACAUUUUUAUAAAAUCUCCAAAUUAGAAAAAUUGCAGUGUUGUCAAUCAAUAAAUGUGUGCUCUUGUCCUUAACAUGUUUCCCAAAUAAAUUGUGCUUUCAACUGUAUUAGUCCAUUGUACAGCAAUAAUCUUGUAAAUAUCACCAUGUUUGUAUAAAGUAUUCUAAAAGCA